GGGAGGAGGAGUAGGGGAUGGGCGGGAGGUAGGGAGGGGUGAGGUGGUGGGAGAAGUGGGGGGAGGAGGAGUAGAGGAUGGGCGGGAGGUAGGGAGGUGUGAGGUGGUGGGAGAAGUGGGGGGAGGAGGAGUAGAGGAUGGGCGGGAGGUAGGGAGGGGUGAGGUGGUGGGAGGCGGAGAGGUGAGAAGUGGAGAGGAGGGUGAAGGAGAGGAGAGGUAAGCGGGAGAGAUGAGGGAAGUGGGGGGAGGAGAGCAGGGUGGCACAAUCUGUGGCGA